rnacentral:ncRNA from 18 species
AAACACCACUAGGGGUGCCUCGAUCGGUUUUCUGGUCGACGGGGCUGAGAUCACACCCUCUGAACCUGACCCGGGUCAUGCCGGCGAAGGGAAGUGACCAGCGUGAUCG